UACCCUCAGGAGGGGGAUAACCCGGGAAACUGGGGAUAAUACCCCAUAGGCCAGGCAUGCUGGAAUGCCUCCUGGUUCAAAGGUCCGCCGCCUGAGGAUGGGUCUGCGGCCGAUUAGGUUGUUGUUGGGGUAACGGCCCAACAAGCCUUUGAUCGGUACGGGUUGUGAGAGCAAGAGCCCGGAGAUGGAUUCUGAGACACGAAUCCAGGCCCUACGGGGCGCAGCAGGCGCGAAAACUUUACAAUGCGAGAAAUCGUGAUAAGGGAACCCCGAGUGCCCGUAAAUUCGGGCUGUCCGCCAGUGCAAAUAGCUGGUGAAGAAAGGGCCGGGCAAGACCGGUGCCAGCCGCCGCGGUAAUACCGGCGGCUCGAGUGGUGGCCACUAUUACUGGGCUUAAAGCGU
rnacentral:rRNA from 1 species